UCAUAUUGUUGUUGUUUUUUAUCUCCGGUCUAGACAGGCUAGACUUAGAUUUAGUAUCUUCAUACGGUAUAUGUAUUUUAUACAUCACCUAAUUACAAUUUUAACAACCAAUAGAUAGAUCUAUAGAUUUUUAGUUAUCCGGUCUUAAUAGAAGAUCGUUACGGUUUUCAUUCAUACAUGCCAUUGUAUGUGUAUUUGUUUGAUAGAACUACACAUAUUUAUAAGAACUGAUCGUUACAAAAUAUAUUGGCAAACAAGGUUAAAAUUUGUCUUUGGAAAAAUCGUCCCGACGUGGUCAGAAAGAGUUAUCCCCCUUGGCCGGCAUAGCGAUCGGUUUUCGAUCAAACAUUUAUCGAUACUGAGAUGGAGAACGUCAACGUGCCGCUGACCCUGCACAUGACGCAUGGUAUCCAAGUGGGCUGUGUCCUGCCACAUUCAGGAAAUUUGAGGUGCAACCCUUGUAGGAAAUCAGUUUCAGGCCCAUUCAAACGGUUUCACUGUCCAGUUACACAAAGCCUGGUGUAAAUAGCUUGUUUGGUCCAGUUGCACCCAACAAAGAUGCUGUCUACACCAAGUGUGACUGAUAGUGCUGUGUAAGCAAAAUUAGGCAUAUUGCUGAAUAUUGGGACCCGAUGUUGUGCUCUCUCAACCGGGCAACUACUAUGCUGUAAUGAAACUUGAUGGUAUCAGUUUCCACCAACGCUAAACUACAUAUACAGCUCCCAAUACAGUGUGCUUUGAGAAGGGAGAGCAACUAUGCCCUGUACGUUUCUGGAAAGAAGAAGUGUUGAGAAGAAGAGUUCUGUGUUGAAGUCAGCAUUGACAUCCUGAGUAGUGAAAAGAUCAGCAGGUAGUAGCAUCAGUUCGCUACUGUGUGGAGGGACAGUGUUUCUCCCUAUACUCAUGGACAGUACUGUACAUCUAAACAUAUGAUUCAUAUCAUAUAUUGUUUCAUAAUGUGAGGUGUGGCGUUUUUCAUUCAUAAUAUCAAUUAUCAUAUAUGGCGAAUUUAGCAUCUUACAAAUAUACUGUGCAUGGAAUUUCUUCACUUACACUGUUUUCAGCAUUUUGAGGCAAAACUCUUUUCAUGUGUUACAUUUAUGUUUAUUGUUUCCUCAACAAUAAAGAACUAGCAAAAUGA
rnacentral:misc_RNA from 1 species